rnacentral:rRNA from 1 species
CACGUAGGGCGCAAGCGUUUGUCCGGAAUUAUUGGGCGUAAAGAGCUCGUAGGCGGUGUGUCGCGUCGGCCGUGAAAACCUGCAGCUUAACUGUGGGCUUGCGGUCGAUACGGGCAUCACUGGAGUUCGGCAGGGGAGACUGGAAUUCCUGGUGUAGCGGUGAAAUGCGCAGAUAUCGGGAGGAACACCGGUGGCGAAGGCGGCUCUCUGGACCACUACUGACGCUGAGGCGCGAAAGCUAGGGGAGCAAACAGGG